rnacentral:misc_RNA from 1 species
AAGUCGUAACAAGGUUUCCGUAGGUGAACCUGCGGAAGGAUCAUUAACACGUAUCCACGUUAUCAAACCAAUGAGAACCGUUUUCCCGUCUCCCUGCCGCAUGAAAUGAAUUGGAACCAGUUUGAGGGGGUGAUGGGUGCGAAAGCGCGACCUUCCUGGCACACUGUGUGUUACUCGAAUAGCAAUGUUUGGGUAGCAUGCGACAAUUGUAUUUGUGUUCUGCAGGCUAAUUUUCCUUAUCGCUUUGAUCCCCUCACGAUCGUGGCGGUUUGGGAAGCCCUUCAAACUAUAUUUACCCCCUUUUUGCUAGUUGACUUUUUUAUAUGUGUUGUGUUCAUUGCUUCAUUGCAGUGUUUGCGGCGCACGUUUAUUAAUUGAACGUUAAAAAAAUACAACUCUUAGCAAUGGAUAUCUUGGUUCUC